rnacentral:rRNA from 1 species
UUAAGUUAUUAAGGGCGCACGGUGGAUGCCUUGGCACUAGAAGCCGAUGAAGGACGUUACUAACGACGAUAUGCUUUGGGGAGCUGUAAGUAAGCUUUGAUCCAGAGAUUUCCGAAUGGGGAAACCCAGCAUGAGUUAUGUCAUGUUAUCGAUAUGUGAAUACAUAGCAUAUCAGAAGGCACACCCGGAGAACUGAAACAUCUUAGUACCCGGAGGAAGAGAAAGAAAAUUCGAUUCCCUUAGUAGCGGCGAGCGAAACGGGAAGAGCCCAAACCAACAAGCUUGCUUGUUGGGGUUGUAGGACACUCUAUACGGAGUUACAAAGGACGACAUUAGACGAAUCAUCUGGAAAGAUGAAUCAAAGAAGGUAAUAAUCCUGUAGUCGAAAAUGUUGUCUCUCUUGAGUGGAUCCUGAGUACGACGGAGCACGUGAAAUUCCGUCGGAAUCUGGGAGGACCAUCUCCUAAGGCUAAAUACUCUCUAGUGACCGAUAGUGAACCAGUACCGUGAGGGAAAGGUGAAAAGCACCCCGGAAGGGGAGUGAAAUAGAACCUGAAACCGUGUGCUUACAAGUAGUCAGAGCCCGUUAAUGGGUGAUGGCGUGCCUUUUGUAGAAUGAACCGGCGAGUUACGAUUUGAUGCAAGGUUAAGCAGUAAAUGUGGAGCCGUAGCGAAAGCGAGUCUGAAUAGGGCGUUUAGUAUUUGGUCGUAGACCCGAAACCAGGUGAUCUACCCUUGGUCAGGUUGAAGUUCAGGUAACACUGAAUGGAGGACCGAACCGACUUACGUUGAAAAGUGAGCGGAUGAACUGAGGGUAGCGGAGAAAUUCCAAUCGAACCUGGAGAUAGCUGGUUCUCUCCGAAAUAGCUUUAGGGCUAGCCUCAAGUGAUGAUUAUUGGAGGUAGAGCACUGUUUGGACGAGGGGCCCCUCUCGGGUUACCGAAUUCAGACAAACUCCGAAUGCCAAUUAAUUUAACUUGGGAGUCAGAACAUGGGUGAUAAGGUCCGUGUUCGAAAGGGAAACAGCCCAGACCACCAGCUAAGGUCCCAAAAUAUAUGUUAAGUGGAAAAGGAUGUGGCGUUGCCCAGACAACUAGGAUGUUGGCUUAGAAGCAGCCAUCAUUUAAAGAGUGCGUAAUAGCUCACUAGUCGAGUGACACUGCGCCGAAAAUGUACCGGGGCUAAACAUAUUACCGAAGCUGUGGAUUGUCCUUUGGACAAUGGUAGGAGAGCGUUCUAAGGGCGUUGAAGCAUGAUCGUAAGGACAUGUGGAGCGCUUAGAAGUGAGAAUGCCGGUGUGAGUAGCGAAAGACGGGUGAGAAUCCCGUCCACCGAUUGACUAAGGUUUCCAGAGGAAGGCUCGUCCGCUCUGGGUUAGUCGGGUCCUAAGCUGAGGCCGACAGGCGUAGGCGAUGGAUAACAGGUUGAUAUUCCUGUACCACCUACAAUCGUUUUAAUCGAUGGGGGGACGCAGUAGGAUAGGCGAAGCGUGCGAUUGGAUUGCACGUCUAAGCAGUAAGGCUGAGUAUUAGGCAAAUCCGGUACUCGUUAAGGCUGAGCUGUGAUGGGGAGAAGACAUUGUGUCUUCGAGUCGUUGAUUUCACACUGCCGAGAAAAGCCUCUAGAUAGAAAAUAGGUGCCCGUACCGCAAACCGACACAGGUAGUCAAGAUGAGAAUUCUAAGGUGAGCGAGCGAACUCUCGUUAAGGAACUCGGCAAAAUGACCCCGUAACUUCGGGAGAAGGGGUGCUCUUUAGGGUUAACGCCCAGAAGAGCCGCAGUGAAUAGGCCCAAGCGACUGUUUAUCAAAAACACAGGUCUCUGCUAAACCGUAAGGUGAUGUAUAGGGGCUGACGCCUGCCCGGUGCUGGAAGGUUAAGAGGAGUGGUUAGCUUCUGCGAAGCUACGAAUCGAAGCCCCAGUAAACGGCGGCCGUAACUAUAACGGUCCUAAGGUAGCGAAAUUCCUUGUCGGGUAAGUUCCGACCCGCACGAAAGGCGUAACGAUUUGGGCACUGUCUCAACGAGAGACUCGGUGAAAUCAUAGUACCUGUGAAGAUGCAGGUUACCCGCGACAGGACGGAAAGACCCCGUGGAGCUUUACUGUAGCCUGAUAUUGAAAUUCGGCACAGCUUGUACAGGAUAGGUAGGAGCCUUUGAAACGUGAGCGCUAGCUUACGUGGAGGCGCUGGUGGGAUACUACCCUAGCUGUGUUGGCUUUCUAACCCGCACCACUUAUCGUGGUGGGAGACAGUGUCAGGCGGGCAGUUUGACUGGGGCGGUCGCCUCCUAAAAGGUAACGGAGGCGCUCAAAGGUUCCCUCAGAAUGGUUGGAAAUCAUUCAUAGAGUGUAAAGGCAUAAGGGAGCUUGACUGCGAGACCUACAAGUCGAGCAGGGUCGAAAGACGGACUUAGUGAUCCGGUGGUUCCGCAUGGAAGGGCCAUCGCUCAACGGAUAAAAGCUACCCCGGGGAUAACAGGCUUAUCUCCCCCAAGAGUUCACAUCGACGGGGAGGUUUGGCACCUCGAUGUCGGCUCAUCGCAUCCUGGGGCUGUAGUCGGUCCCAAGGGUUGGGCUGUUCGCCCAUUAAAGCGGUACGCGAGCUGGGUUCAGAACGUCGUGAGACAGUUCGGUCCCUAUCCGUCGUGGGCGUAGGAAAUUUGAGAGGAGCUGUCCUUAGUACGAGAGGACCGGGAUGGACAUACCUCUGGUGUACCAGUUGUCGUGCCAACGGCAUAGCUGGGUAGCUAUGUGUGGACGGGAUAAGUGCUGAAAGCAUCUAAGCAUGAAGCCCCCCUCAAGAUGAGAUUUCCCAACUUCGGUUAUAAGAUCCCUCAAAGAUGAUGAGGUUAAUAGGUUCGAGGUGGAAGCAUGGUGACAUGUGGAGCUGACGAAUACUAAUCGAUCGAAGACUUAAUCAA